UUUGGGGACACCACAGGAUGUCAGGCUUCACUUUAAAACAGUUAAAUGAAUUCAAAGACGCAUUUAUUUAAUACACGUUUCCCUGGACUUGAAGCUUUAACAGUGUCCCAUACAGUGAUAAAAGAUGGUCCUAUUUCACAAAUGAGAGAUACGAUGCUUAGAGAAUUGCACAGCUAGUUGCUGCCAAAACUUGAACGAUCUUCUGGGUCCAUGCUCAUGUGAUUCCAAUAUGUUGCAACCACUAGGAGAGUAAAAAGGUGAGAGAAUGACACAGAGAGAUUAAGGCAGUCUUCCC